rnacentral:lncRNA from 1 species
CUCCAGUAACGGGUUGGGGACAUGGGGUAGGAUUUGGGGCCAGGAGGUGGGGGCUGCGCUGGGAGGUCCCCGUCUCUGAUAACGGGUUGGGGACAUGGAUUUGGGGCAGGAGGUGGGGGCUGUUUUGGGGGUCUCCGGUAACGGUUUUGGGGCCGUGGGGCAGGAUUUGGGGGUGGUGGCGCCGUGGCCAUACAGGCAGGAAGGGUGGGCAGGAAAAGGGACAGGAAGGUGACGCUUCCCAGCGAGGGGACUUCCCAGGGCUGGCAGCGGGAAUGUGACGCCGCCACCGCCCAGCAGGACUCGGGGACACCCGCGGAGCUGCCACCCAUGGGACCGACCGCGGGGCUCCUGCCCCCCCUGCUCCUGGCCCUGGCAGGUAGAAGGGGAGAGGGGUUGGGGGGGGGGAGGGGGGGGGGGGGGGGGGGGGGGGCUCACCCCAUAAAAACUGUGGGAGGGGGGGGGGGGGGGGGGGGGGGGGGGGGGAGGGGGUGUGGGGCUGGGGUCCCGGUAUGGGGCUGGGGUCUUGGGCUUUGGGGCUGGGGUCCUGGUUUGGGGCUGGGGUCCUGAGCUUUGGUUCCAGGCUCCCAGUUUGGAGCUUGGGGGGUCCUGUUUUGGGUUCUGGGCUCCUGGGUUUGGGGCUGGGGCACUGGUUUGGUUCCGAGCUCCCAGUUUGGUUCUGGGGUCCCCGUUUGGUUCCAGGCUCCCAGUUUGGAACUGGAGGGCCCUAUUCUGGGUUCUGGGCUCCUGGCUUUGGGGACGGGCUCCUG